UUGGGAUGCUUUUAGUUUGAAGAUGGGGUACUGCAGGUGUCGUUGUAUUUACGUUUUUCUUUUUCGAAAAAUCGUGUUUGAGCUGCAGCACAAAGUACUGUUGCUUUGUUGCUGGAGACCGGGGUCAAAGCCUUUGAGAGCAAAUAGGAUUCAGGUGGUCCCAUCCAAGGGUGCAUGAGUGAUCUGGGUCUAGUUGGGGGAGGAAGCAUGAGUGAAUGCAGACAACUUUUUUGCGGUGGAGCUGGUUGUCGAUUUCCAUGAAUCAACAGCCCCUACGGGAAAAGCGAGGGAGACGGAAAGCCGAAGGUUUUUUUCCAUCGAGUCGCUCAUUGCUGUUUCCACAUAGCCCAGCUACCAGGAUGAACGGCUUGGUUGAAUCUCCAGCGCCGUUGCUUUCAUUAGCGUAACGGGAUGACCUGAUGGCUCACUUGAAAUCUUUUCCAGUUGCGUUGGAAGCCACGUUGGUUUAGUGUAAAAAAUGAGGGACCACCGGAAGAGAGGUGUUUGUUCUCAACUGAAAAACGUUUCUGAUUUAUAUGUCGAGUUUGUUGUGUUCAAACCAGUUGAAGGGACGGGAUGGUGUAAGCUCGAAGGUUUCCCAAGGCCGUGAAUGCAAGCACGGCCGUGCCUGCAUCCGAAGUGCAUCCUGCUCUCUGGUGCAUGUGUUCAGAUGAAAUAGGUCAUGGAAUUCAGCUGCAAUUCCAACGCGGGAAGAUUCCUCCAUCGAUUACCAUUUCAGAGGUAUCGAAAACUCAACACUUUCUUGAAGGAAUUCUACCAUUUUACACUGUCAAGAGUGGAAAUUAUGCGAUGUGAACGUGUUAAUCACAUUCCGAAACUCUGUUCGGGGACUUCUCUAACAGUAUACAGCUCUGAUAUUAUAACAAGACUUGCAGCACAACGACGAUACUUAAAAAUUGACCGUUGAUGCAAUAUUUUUUAUCAUCUUGGAGAUAUAGUACUCAUUAGAUUAAAAAUAAAAAGUAAAUAAAACACACAUUAACGAAAAAAGAAGAAAACGAACCGUUUGAAAUGAGUUUUUUUUUUUUUUUUUUUUUUUUAGAGAAAACAGCCACUUUAAUUUGUGAUUUUCGUGACAGCACCGAGUGGAAUGUUUGCUGCUUUGCAUGAAGCUCCGGAAACUCCUUUUCCUCAACACUAAAUUUCCUACGACAUAUUCAAACCUGAAGUACGCAGUACGGUACUGAAAGCUCCCACAGGCGGGUUUACAGCUCUGAACACUGGCCAGGAAUUGUGCAACAUUCUAAUCAGCUGAAAUCAAACUGGGUGCUCAUGUGAAGGUGAUUCCCUUACGUGGUCAAGGCUUGAAUUCGGGACCAAAUCUGUCUCCGUUGAUCCAGGUGAAACAUCAUGGAAGACCUGGGAUGUACACCACUCUGCUUCACGAGAGUGGCAUUGGACAUUCAUGACCCAGUAAGAAAUAUUUUGUUUCCACAUCCACCACACAAGCACUCCGAGAAUGGACUCAACACGACAUUCAAAGUAUAACAGCGAGUGACGACCAGAACAGCCAACACCUCCCAAUCCACAAUUUCAACAAAGCAGAUCAUGCAGACAGGAAAGAAACGAAGACUGCCAAUACAGCCCACUGACAAGUGCCCUGAAGAGCUUCCAAGUGGACACAGCUUGUUCGGGAAGCGGUUAUUCUACAAGUUUGUUUGUGGCUAGAUGGGGUCGUAAUUUUGUCCAGCAUAGUUUCUCGUCGAACAAGUAACAUUGUUGAGCUAGGGAAGUACUUUCAUUCACAACUAUUUGGACCUCAAACAGACCAUCCUGCCCAUGAAAGUAGUCGCGAUUCGGACACAAUCAGUUCGAUGAGUCCACAACAUCGACGUGAAUGAGGCCAGGGAAUGUGGGCAUCGACAGGCGUCGAAACCAAUGCGGCUAGGUGUCUUAAAUAUUGAUAACAUAAUUGUGAUGAUCAUUUCCA
rnacentral:lncRNA from 1 species